GAUCCUGGCUCAGGAUGAACGCUAGCUACAGGCUUAACACAUGCAAGUCGAGGGGCAGCAUUAAAGUUUGCUUGCAAACUUUAGAUGGCGACCGGCGCACGGGUGAGUAACACGUAUCCAACCUGCCGAUAACUCGGGGAUAGCCUUUCGAAAGAAAGAUUAAUACCUGAUGGUAUGAUGAGAUUGCAUGGUAUCAUCAUUAAAGAUUUAUCGGUGUACGAUGGGGAUGCGUU
rnacentral:rRNA from 1 species